rnacentral:tRNA from 1 species
CAGAGUAUAGCUAAACCAGAAAAGCAUCUCCCUUACAACGAGAAGACAUCUGUGCAAAUCAGAUUACCCUGA